AGGCUGCACCUGUGCUUGGCUAUCACCCUCCACACAGAGGAUGUCUCUACCACCACCUCAGCCCUGCUACAGGACAACUGCUCGUGAUAGAGGUCCUUGGUGUUUUCUGGGGGAAGCCUCAUGUCGAACCAGGGCAAAGAUGGAAGAGAGUUUUGAGAUGUUUGAGGAGGAGUUAGGCAGGCCAGAGCCUCCCCCUCAAAAGCCCGCAGACCAGUUCCAGAAAUGUAUGCUAAGGAAAGAUGAAUAACCCUACAGGAACAGACCAUGCCUUCUCAACAUGAACCUCCAAUCUUGCAGCAGCAAGUCCCCAAGAUAAUGCCCAGAGAACCCAGUGUCCCCGGCAGAAGCAAAACCAUUAAAGGUCGACGGCCUGUGGAGGAAGAGGAGUAUGCUGAUGCGCUGACUGUGAGGCACUCCACAAAGUCCAACCACAGGAGGUAGUGGCACAGAAACAAAAUACUCACCUGUCUCUCCGGGCUCAGAAUCCUCAUUCCCAACAUGCCCUCUUUGUAUGAGGUGUUGUUCUGGUGGUUACCUGACUUUAAUGACGAAGAUGAUGACGGGGAAACCAAACAAGGUCAAUUGAAGAAGGGGGUCAGAGAGAGGUCCCUGAAGGGCCUGAGAAGCAGGGGAACACCAGAGAGAAUACUUUCCAAAGGCAGAGAAGGGGAGGAAAAGAGGGCUAAGAGAGAGAGAGAUUAAGAAACUAAGCUGAAGAAAAAGGGAAAACAGGUCAAGCUGAGAGGGGAGGAAAAAUAAGUGGCAGAAAAUGGAGGAGGAAGUUAAACCCAUGAUACAAAAGGUUAAGAAAUGAAAAGCCAGCAAAUCAUAGGAGGGAAAAUGGCAUGCAGUCUGAUGAAGAAUUAAGUAAAGGAAUACAACAGUAGUUCUACAUAAUAGUAAAAUAAGGUAACGUGGAUGGGCAUCAUUGUGAACACAUUAUGGGUUCUCUGCACAAAUGAAUGUUCCAACUAUAAUUGCUGCUGGCUCAUUGGCAGCCAUUGCAAGUGCCAGUCAGAAGAGAAGCAUGACUGAUUUCCCAGUCUGCCAUGUCUUUGUUGCUUAGAAUAUUGUUCAGUGAUGCCGUUUUGAAAAUGUUGGUUUGUAAUUAUAAAGUUGAGCAAGACGUCUCAUUUGAGUAAUUGUCUGGGUGCUAUUGUAAACCAACAUGUCCUCUAUGCUUAUUGUCAUUUUUCAAUGUAUUGUUAUUUGGACCCUUGAUUGUUGUUACUGUUGUUCCAUUGACAGUAUUAUUAUUUUAAUUGUUAAUGUUGUAAAUCUCCAGAGUAAGCUUUGGUAAUAUGCAAUAAAAAAUGCUUUAAUCUGAAAUCCUUUUUUUGCUACCCUAAUUGUCAAUAAAGCUUUCCCUGUUAUGUAUCAUAUCUUUGCCU